UUGAACGCUGGCGGCAGGCCUAACACCUGCCAGUCGAGCGGAUGAGUGGAGCUUUCUCCAUGAUUCAGCGGCGGACGGGUGAGUAAUGCCUAGGAAUCUGCCUGGUAGUGGGGGACAACGUUUCGAAAGGAACGCUAAUACCGCAUACGUCCUACGGGAGAAAGUGGGGGAUCUUCGGACCUCACGCUAUCAGAUGAGCCUAGGUCGGAUUAGCUAGUUGGUGAGGUAAAGGCUCACCAAGGCGACGAUCCGUAACUGGUCUGAGAGGAUGAUCAGUCACACUGGAACUGAGACACGGUCCAGACUCCUACGGGAGGCAGCAGUGGGGAAUAUUGGACAAUGGGCGAAAGCCUGAUCCAGCCAUGCCGCGUGUGUGAAGAAGGUCUUCGGAUUGUAAAGCACUUUAAGUUGGGAGGAAGGGCAGUAAGUUAAUACCUUGCUGUUUUGACGUUACCAACAGAAUAAGCACCGGCUAACUUCGUG
rnacentral:rRNA from 1 species